rnacentral:misc_RNA from 1 species
AUUGCAUUCGUGUUCGAGAACAACAAGAAUUUAUACUGGGAAAUGUAUGGAGCUAAUUCAAUGGUGGAGAUGAGUCGCGAUGUAGUGUGUUUAGGGUUUUUGGAUGCAGGUGAUGAGCCUAUAAUAACGACACCUAUAGUGAUUGGGGCACACCAGUUGCAGGAUAAUCUUCUUCAGUUUGAUCUAGCUUCUAAUCGAUUGGCCUUUACUUCCACACUUCUCUUGGAAGAAGUCGAA